UAUGUAGGGUGCGAGCGUUAAUCGGAAUUACUGGGCGUAAAGCGUGCGCAGGCGGUUCGUUAAGUUCGUUGUGAAAGCCCCGGGCUCAACUUCGAGCUGUCGGUGGAAACUGUCUGGCUAGAGUCCGGAAGAGGAGAAUGGAAUUCCUGGUGUAGCGGUGAAAUGCGCAGAUAUCAGGAAGAACACCCGUGGCGAAGGCGGUUCUCUGGGACGGUACUGACGCUGAGACGCGAAAGCGUGGGGAGCGAACAGG
rnacentral:rRNA from 1 species